UACGGAGGGUGCAAGCGUUGUCCGGAAUCACUGGGUGUAAAGGGUGUGUAGGCGGAACUAUAAGUCAGAGGUGAAAUCCCGCAGCUCAACUGCGGAACUGCCUUUGAUACUGUAGUCCUUGAGUAUCGGAGAGGUUGCUGGAAUUCGUGGUGUAGCGGUGAAAUGCGUAGAUAUCACGAGGAACACCAGAGGCGUAGGCGGGCAACUGGACGAUUACUGACGCUGAGGCACGAAAGCGUGGGGAGCAAACAGG
rnacentral:rRNA from 1 species